ncrna:Vibrio kanaloae 5S-149 uxuA RNA
UCGUCUUUAGACCGGCGUAGACCGGUGCUAUCUCGGGCAGUAAUUGUCAUUGCUGCCAUUAAGAAGUCGUUAUUGCAUUUAGCUUGA